AUUGAACGCUGGCGGCAUGCUUUACACAUGCAAGUCGGACGGUAACAGGCCGCAAGGUGCUGACGAGUGGCGAACGGGUGAGUAAUGCAUCGGAACGUGCCCAGUCGUGGGGGAUAACGCAGCGAAAGCUGCGCUAAUACCGCAUACGAUCUAUGGAUGAAAGCGGGGGACCGUAAGGCCUCGCGCGAUUGGAGCGGCCG
rnacentral:rRNA from 1 species